rnacentral:rRNA from 1 species
UACGUAGGGUGCGAGCGUUAAUCGGAAUUACUGGGCGUAAAGCGUGCGCAGGCGGUUAUUAAGUCAGGUGUGAAAGCCCUGGGCUUAACCUAGGAAUUGCGCUUGAGACUGGAUAGCUUGGAGUGCGGCAGAGGGAGGUGGAAUUCCGACGUGUAGCAGUGAAAUGCGUAGAGAUGUGGAGGAACACCGAUGGCGAAGGCAGCCUCCUGGGCCAGCACUGACGCUCAUGCACGAAAGCGUGGGGAGCAAACAGG